CCUACGGGAGGCAGCAGUGGGGAAUAUUGGACAAUGGGGGGAACCCUGAUCCAGCGACGCCGCGUGAGUGAAGAAGUAUUUCGGUAUGUAAAGCUCUAUCAGCAGGGAAGAAAGAAAUGACGGUACCUGACUAAGAAGCCCCGGCUAACUACGUGCCAGCAGCCGCGGUAAUACGUAGGGGGCAAGCGUUAUCCGGAUUUACUGGGUGUAAAGGGAGCGUAGACGGCGAUGCAAGUCUGAAGUGAAAGGCGGGGGCCCAACCCCCGGACUGCUUUGGAAACUGUAUGGCUGGAGUGCAGGAGAGGUAAGUGGAAUUCCUAGGGUAGCGGUGAAAUGCGUAGAGAUGAGGAGGAACACCAGUGGCGAAGGCGGCUUACUGGACUGUAACUGACGUUGAGGCUCGAAAGCGUGGGGAGCAAACAGGAUUAGAUACCCGGGUAGUC
rnacentral:rRNA from 1 species